rnacentral:rRNA from 1 species
GACGAACGCUGGCGGCGUGCUUAACACAUGCAAGUCGUACGACAGCAUUUCCUUUUAGGUUGUGUUUGGAGUGGCGAACGGGUGAGUAACACGUGAGUGACCUGCCCUUCACUUUGGGAUAACGUGCGGAAACGUGCGCUAAUACCAAAUAUUCGCAUUUCUGCUGCAUGGUGGGGUGUGGAAAGGGGCCUUCGGGUUCGUGGUGGGGG